CCCACCCGUGUUUAUUUUACCUUGUUGCUUCGGCGGGCCCGCCUUAACUGGCCGCCGGGGGGCUUACGCCCCCGGGCCCGCGCCCGCCGAAGACACCCUCGAACUCUGUCUGAAGAUUGAAGUCUGAGUGAAAAUAUAAAUUAUUUAAAACUUUCAACAACGGAUCUCUUGGUUCCGGCAUCGAUGAAGAACGCAGCGAAAUGCGAUACGUAAUGUGAAUUGCAAAUUCAGUGAAUCAUCGAGUCUUUGAACGCACAUUGCGCCCCCUGGUAUUCCGGGGGGCAUGCCUGUCCGAGCGUCAUUGCUGCCCUCAAGCCCGGCUUGUGUGUUGGGCCCCGUCCCCCGAUCUCCGGGGGACGGGCCCGAAAGGCAGCGGCGGCACCGCGUCCGGUCCUCGAGCGUAUGGGGCUUUGUCACCCGCUCUGUAGGCCCGGCCGGCGCUUGCCGAUCAACCCAAAUUUUUAUCCAGGUUGACCUCGGAUCAGGUAGGGAUACCCGC
rnacentral:rRNA from 1 species